AUGGCGUGGAGGAUGAACCAGGGAGCCUCGGCGAGGAAGCGCGUGGAGGCAGGGCCGACGGGAGCAACAGCUCAGACGGCAAGGCGCGGCCAUGGGGAUCGGACGCGACGCGCGGGAAGAGCCUGGAGGGCUGCGAGAUCGAGCGCAAGCUCUUUUGCAUGCGUUGGUGGCGGCGCUAUCGGGAGGGAGAUGGGGAUAGAGGAGAGCUGA
rnacentral:rRNA from 1 species